CCGAAGUCCCGAUCCAAUCGGGACAUGUAGGACGACGGCGGCAGGGCUCCGGAAAGUGGGGAACGACGGGGAGGCGGGGAGGCGGCGGACGUCGCGGCGAGGCGGAUCAGAUCAGGAUCCAGCACGGCGGCCGGCGCUCCAUGGCCGUGGCGCCUCGGUCUCGUGGGAAGAAGAGACGUGGGAGAGAGAGGAGGUGAGAUGGGGAGAAGAGAAGGCAGAGUAAGGACGGCGCGGAUUCCGACGGUGGCUCCGGUCGGCGGAUCCAGGCCAACUCUUGAUGGAUUUCCAAUGUGCUGCUGGCCUCCGAAUUUUUUUUGUCGUGUAGCCGCUCCCCAUCUCAGCGUGUGCUAUCCACGGAAGCCGGCUCCUCCACUCAGGCCCUCUUCUGCAACGCCGACGAGGACGCUAAUUCGUUUGAACCGAUCUUCACGACCACGUGCAGCUGGAAUUUUUUUCAUAUAACAUCAGGGAUGUAGGAUGAUUGGGUGAACAAGCUUCAUGUGAAACAUCCAGAUCCCGGUGGCGGUGCCUCCGUUCAGCAUCCCAUGCGGCGACGUCCUCCGGUAUAAUGGCAAACACCGGUAGGGGAGAGAGCAGAGCGGGAGGGGUAUUGGGUCCAUACCAUUGUGGGCAUUGCCAGUGCCAUGAUUGUGGUUAAUACCCACAGGAGAUUCUAUUCCUGUGAGCGGAUUAAACAGAGUUGAGUAAACAUCAUCCAUAGGAGAUACAUGUGCUAAUUAAGUUUAGAGGAGAAAGUGGUUCUUUAUUCUUGUAAUUUUGGUGCAGAUGUCAUACAGGGGGCAGAGAACAAUAGUC